rnacentral:rRNA from 1 species
UACAGAGGAUGCAAGCGUUAUCCGGAAUGAUUGGGCGUAAAGCGUCUGUAGGUGGCUUUUUAAGUCCGCCGUCAAAUCCCAGGGCUCAACUCUGGACAGGCGGUGGGAACUACCAAGCUGGAGUACGGUAGGGGCAGAGGGAAUUUCCGGUGGAGCGGUGAAAUGCGCAGAUAUCAGGAGGAACACCGGUGGCGAAGGCGGUGGUCUGGGCCGGCACUGACGCUGAGGAGCGAAAGCGUGGGUAGCAAACAGG